rnacentral:misc_RNA from 1 species
CUCUGUAUACAGGGAGAUCAAUGGUGCCAAGUCACGCGUCAGGCGUCUGUUCUGGCGGUGGCGCUCAUGGGUGGAACAUUGACAUUGAUGCCGGCUGAUGUGUCGGGCUGCUAGUACGCCUCCUUGUGGGGUGGGAACGUGGUCUGGUGUGUCGAGGGCAUGUUGCACGCUGUUGGGUCCUGAGGGACCGGGCCGCACCUUUCGGGUGUGUCUGGUUUCUUGUCGGACCCUUUCCGUCGUCCUGUUGUGGAUGGUGGUGGGGUACCGCCCGUAUAUUGAGAACUACACAGUGGACGCGAGCAUCUUAGAUUCACCGGUUUACCGGUGGAUCACAAAGAUCUAUUUAUAGAUCAUUGGUCAAUUCUGUCUCCUCUAGGGGAGGCGAAACGAUUCAAUCUCAUGUGAUUUCAAGAUUCUAAGAGCAAACGGUGGAUGCCUUGGCAUCUGGAGCCGAAGAAGGACGUAUAAAUCUGCGAUAAGCCUCGGGGAGCUGAUAAUAGAGCU